rnacentral:rRNA from 1 species
GACAGAGGGUGCAAACGUUUGUUCGGAAUUACUGGGCGUAAAGCGCGUGUAGGUGGCGAGGCAAGUCGGGUGUGAAAGCCCUGGGCUCAACCCAGGAAGUGCACUCGAUACUGCCUAGCUAGAGUCCCGGAGAGGUUGGUGGAACUCUCGGUGUAGAGGUGAAAUUCGUAGAUAUCGAGAAGAACACCGGUGGCGAAGGCGGCAUCCUGGACCAAUACUGACGCUGAGGAGCGAAAGCCAGGGAGCAAACGGG